rnacentral:rRNA from 1 species
GGUUAAGCGACUAAGCGUACACGGUGGAUGCCCUGGCAGUCAGAGGCGAUGAAGGACGUGCUAAUCUGCGAUAAGCGUCGGUAAGGUGAUAUGAACCGUUAUAACCGGCGAUUUCCGAAUGGGGAAACCCAGUGUGAUUCGUCACACUAUCAUUAACUGAAUCCAUAGGUUAAUGAGGCGAACCGGGGGAACUGAAACAUCUAAGUACCCCGAGGAAAAGAAAUCAACCGAGAUUCCCCCAGUAGCGGCGAGCGAACGGGGAGCAGCCCAGAGCCUGAAUCAGUGUGUGUGUUAGUGGAAGCGUCUGGAAAGGCGCGCGAUACAGGGUGACAGCCCCGUACACAAAAAUGCACAUACUGUGAGCUCGAUGAGUAGGGCGGGACACGUGGUAUCCUGUCUGAAUAUGGGGGGACCAUCCUCCAAGGCUAAAUACUCCUGACUGACCGAUAGUGAACCAGUACCGUGAGGGAAAGGCGAAAAGAACCCCGGCGAGGGGAGUGAAAAAGAACCUGAAACCGUGUACGUACAAGCAGUGGGAGCCUCUUUAUGGGGUGACUGCGUACCUUUUGUAUAAUGGGUCAGCGACUUAUAUUCUGUAGCAAGGUUAACCGAAUAGGGGAGCCGAAGGGAAACCGAGUCUUAACUGGGCGUUAAGUUGCAGGGUAUAGACCCGAAACCCGGUGAUCUAGCCAUGGGCAGGUUGAAGGUUGGGUAACACUAACUGGAGGACCGAACCGACUAAUGUUGAAAAAUUAGCGGAUGACUUGUGGCUGGGGGUGAAAGGCCAAUCAAACCGGGAGAUAGCUGGUUCUCCCCGAAAGCUAUUUAGGUAGCGCCUCGUGAAUUCAUCUCCGGGGGUAGAGCACUGUUUCGGCAAGGGGGUCAUCCCGACUUACCAACCCGAUGCAAACUGCGAAUACCGGAGAAUGUUAUCACGGGAGACACACGGCGGGUGCUAACGUCCGUCGUGAAGAGGGAAACAACCCAGACCGCCAGCUAAGGUCCCAAAGUCAUGGUUAAGUGGGAAACGAUGUGGGAAGGCCCAGACAGCCAGGAUGUUGGCUUAGAAGCAGCCAUCAUUUAAAGAAAGCGUAAUAGCUCACUGGUCGAGUCGGCCUGCGCGGAAGAUGUAACGGGGCUAAACCAUGCACCGAAGCUGCGGCAGCGACGCUUAUGCGUUGUUGGGUAGGGGAGCGUUCUGUAAGCCUGUGAAGGUGUGCUGUGAGGCAUGCUGGAGGUAUCAGAAGUGCGAAUGCUGACAUAAGUAACGAUAAAGCGGGUGAAAAGCCCGCUCGCCGGAAGACCAAGGGUUCCUGUCCAACGUUAAUCGGGGCAGGGUGAGUCGACCCCUAAGGCGAGGCCGAAAGGCGUAGUCGAUGGGAAACAGGUUAAUAUUCCUGUACUUGGUGUUACUGCGAAGGGGGGACGGAGAAGGCUAUGUUGGCCGGGCGACGGUUGUCCCGGUUUAAGCGUGUAGGCUGGUUUUCCAGGCAAAUCCGGAAAAUCAAGGCUGAGGCGUGAUGACGAGGCACUACGGUGCUGAAGCAACAAAUGCCCUGCUUCCAGGAAAAGCCUCUAAGCAUCAGGUAACAUCAAAUCGUACCCCAAACCGACACAGGUGGUCAGGUAGAGAAUACCAAGGCGCUUGAGAGAACUCGGGUGAAGGAACUAGGCAAAAUGGUGCCGUAACUUCGGGAGAAGGCACGCUGAUAUGUAGGUGAAGUCCCUUGCGGAUGGAGCUGAAAUCAGUCGAAGAUACCAGCUGGCUGCAACUGUUUAUUAAAAACACAGCACUGUGCAAACACGAAAGUGGACGUAUACGGUGUGACGCCUGCCCGGUGCCGGAAGGUUAAUUGAUGGGGUUAGCGGUAACGCGAAGCUCUUGAUCGAAGCCCCGGUAAACGGCGGCCGUAACUAUAACGGUCCUAAGGUAGCGAAAUUCCUUGUCGGGUAAGUUCCGACCUGCACGAAUGGCGUAAUGAUGGCCAGGCUGUCUCCACCCGAGACUCAGUGAAAUUGAACUCGCUGUGAAGAUGCAGUGUACCCGCGGCAAGACGGAAAGACCCCGUGAACCUUUACUAUAGCUUGACACUGAACAUUGAGCCUUGAUGUGUAGGAUAGGUGGGAGGCUUUGAAGUGUGGACGCCAGUCUGCAUGGAGCCGACCUUGAAAUACCACCCUUUAAUGUUUGAUGUUCUAACGUUGGCCCCUGAUCGGGGUUGCGGACAGUGUCUGGUGGGUAGUUUGACUGGGGCGGUCUCCUCCUAAAGAGUAACGGAGGAGCACGAAGGUUGGCUAAUCCUGGUCGGACAUCAGGAGGUUAGUGCAAUGGCAUAAGCCAGCUUGACUGCGAGCGUGACGGCGCGAGCAGGUGCGAAAGCAGGUCAUAGUGAUCCGGUGGUUCUGAAUGGAAGGGCCAUCGCUCAACGGAUAAAAGGUACUCCGGGGAUAACAGGCUGAUACCGCCCAAGAGUUCAUAUCGACGGCGGUGUUUGGCACCUCGAUGUCGGCUCAUCACAUCCUGGGGCUGAAGUAGGUCCCAAGGGUAUGGCUGUUCGCCAUUUAAAGUGGUACGCGAGCUGGGUUUAGAACGUCGUGAGACAGUUCGGUCCCUAUCUGCCGUGGGCGCUGGAGAACUGAGGGGGGCUGCUCCUAGUACGAGAGGACCGGAGUGGACGCAUCACUGGUGUUCGGGUUGUCAUGCCAAUGGCACUGCCCGGUAGCUAAAUGCGGAAGAGAUAAGUGCUGAAAGCAUCUAAGCACGAAACUUGCCCCGAGAUGAGUUCUCCCUGACUCCUUGAGAGUCCUGAAGGAACGUUGAAGACGACGACGUUGAUAGGCCGGGUGUGUAAGCGCAGCGAUGCGUUGAGCUAACCGGUACUAAUGAACCGUGAGGCUUAACCUU